AAAAUGCGAUAAGUAAUGUGAAUUGCAGAAUUCAGUGAAUCAUCGAAUCUUUGAACGCACAUUGCGCCCGCCAGUAUUCUGGCGGGCAUGCCUGUUCGAGCGUCAUUUCAACCCUCAAGCUCAGCUUGGUGUUGGGACUCGCGGUAACCCGCGUUCCCCAAAUCGAUUGGCGGUCACGUCGAGCUUCCAUAGCGUAGUAAUCAUACACCUCGUUACUGGUAAUCGUCGCGGCCACGCCGUAAAACCCCAACUUCUGAAUGUUGACCUCGGAUCAGGUAGGAAUACCAGCUGAACUUAAGC
rnacentral:misc_RNA from 1 species